rnacentral:hammerhead_ribozyme from 1 species
CUCUCGAUGAUGAGUCCUAAACAGGACGAAACAGCUGUCCAGCUAUAU